rnacentral:rRNA from 1 species
AAGAGUUUGAUCAUGGCUCAGAUUGAACGCUGGCGGCAGGCCUAACACAUGCAAGUCGAACGGUAACAGGAAGCAGCUUGCUGCUUUGCUGACGAGUGGCGGACGGGGGAGUAAUGUCUGGGAAACUGCCUGAUGGAGGGGGAUAACUACUGGAAACGGUAGCUAAUACCGCAUAACGUCGCAAGACCAAAGAGGGGGACCUUCGGGCCUCUUGCCAUCGGAUGUGCCCAGAUGGGAUUAGCUAGUAGGUGGGGUAACGGCUCACCAAGGCGACGAUCCCUAGCUGGUCUGAGAGGAUGACCAGCCACACUGGAACUGAGACACGGUCCAGACUCCUACGGGAGGCAGCAGUGGGGAAUAUUGCACAAUGGGCGCAAGCCUGAUGCAGCCAUGCCGCGUGUAUGAAGAAGGCCUUCGGGUUGUAAAGUACUUUCAGCGGGGAGGAAGGGAGUAAAGUUAAUACCU